GGUAGCUCAGUGGUAGAGUGCAUGCUUCGUAAGUAUGAUGUCCUGGGUUUAAUUCCCAUAUUCUCCC